rnacentral:rRNA from 1 species
AGUAACACGGACCAAGGAGUCUAACAUCUAUGCGAGUGUUCGGGUGUCAAACCCCUACGCGUAAUGAAAGUGAACGGAGGUGAGAACCGCAAGGUGCAUCAUCGACCGAUCCUGAUGUCUUCGGAUGGAUUUGAGUAAGAGCAUAGCUGUUGGGACCCGAAAGAUGGUGAACUAUGCCUGAAUAGGGUGAAGUCAGAGG